rnacentral:rRNA from 1 species
UACGAGAGGCCCAAACGUUUAUUCGGAAUUACUGGGCGUAAAGAGCUCGUAGGCGGUUUGUCACGUCGGAUGUGAAACCCUGAGGCUCAACCUCAGGCCUGCAUUCGAUACGGGCAGACUAGAAUUCGGCAGGGGAGACUGGAAUUCCUGGUGUAGCGGUGAAAUGCGCAGAUAUCAGGAGGAACACCGGUGGCGAAGGCGGGUCUCUGGGCCGAUAUUGACGCUGAGGAGCGAAAGCGUGGGGAGCAAACAGG